rnacentral:rRNA from 1 species
GAUGAACGCUGGCGGCGUGCCUAAUACAUGCAAGUCGAGCGAACGGACGAGAAGCUUGCUUUUCUGAUGUUAGCGGCGGACGGGUGAGUAACACGUGGAUAACCUACCUAUAAGACUGGGAUAACUUCGGGAAACCGGAGCUAAUACCGGAAUAUAUUUUGAACCGCAUGGUUCAAAAGUGAAAGACGGUCUUGCUGUCACUUAUAGAUGGAUCCGCGCUGCAUUAGCUAGUUGGUAAGGUAACGGCUUACCAAGGCAACGAUGCAUAGCCGACCUGAGAGGGUGAUCGGCCACACUGGAACUGAGACACGGUCCAGACUCCUACGGGAGGCAGCAGUAGGGAAUCUUCCGCAAUGGGCGAAAGCCUGACGGAGCAACGCCGCGUGAGUGAUGAAGGUCUUCGGAUCGUAAAACUCUGUUAUUAGGGAAGAACAUAUGUGUAAGUAACUGUGCACAUCUUGACGGUACCUAAUCAGAAAGCCACGGCUAACUACGUG